GCGCGCAAGCCCUGAUGCAGCCAUGCCGAGUGAUGUAAGGAGGCCUUCCGGUGUAACGUCACUUCAGGCGGGAAGGAAGGUGUGUGAGUCAUAACCUCUAGCAUUUGACGUACCGGCAGAAAGAAGCACCUGUCUUACUUCGUGUCAGCAGCGCAGGUAAUACGGAGGGGUGCUAAGCGUUAAUCGGAAUUACUAGGCGUAAAGCGCACGCAGGCGGUCCGUCAAGUCGAAUGUGAAAUCCUCUGAGCUCAACCUGGGAACUGCAUUCGAAACUGGCAGGCUUGAGUCUCGUAGAGGGGGGGUAGAAUUCCAGGUGUAGCGGUGAAAUGCGUAGAGAUCUGGAGGAAUACCCGGUGGCGAAGGCGUCCCCCUGGACGAAGACUGACGCUCAGGUGAGAAAGCGUGGGGAGCAAACAGGAUUAGAUACCCUGGUAGUCCACGCCGUAAACGAUGUCGAUUUGGAGGUUGUGCCCUUGAGGCGUGGCUUCCGGAGCUAACGCGUUAAAUCGACCGCCUGGGGAGUACGGCCGCAAGGUUAAAACUCAAAUGAAUUGACGGGGGCCCGCACAAGCGGUGGAGCAUGUGGUUUAAUUCGAUGCAACGCGAAGAACCUUACCUGGUCUUGACAUCCACGGAAUUUUGCAGAGAUGCGGAAGUGCCUUCGGGAACUGUGAGACAGGUGCUGCAUGGCUGUCGUCAGCUCGUGUUGUGAAAUGUUGGGUUAAGUCCCGCAACGAGCGCAACCCUUAUCCUUUGUUGCCAGCGGUCCGGCCGGGAACUCAAAGGAGACUGCCAGUGAUAAACUGGAGGAAGGUGGGGAUGACGUCAAGUCAUCAUGGCCCUUACGACCAGGGCUACACACGUGCUACAAUGGCAUAUACAAAGAGAAGCGACCUCGCGAGAGCAAGCGGACCUCAUAAAGUAUGUCGUAGUCCGGAUUGGAGUCUGCAACUCGACUCCAUGAAGUCGGAAUCGCUAGUAAUCGUAGAUCAGAAUGCCACGGUGAAUACGUUCCCGGGCCUUGUACACACCGCCCGUCACACCAUGGGAGUGGGUUGCAAAAGAAGUAGGUAGCUUAACCUUCGGGAGGGCGCUUACCCACC
rnacentral:rRNA from 1 species